GACGAACGCUGGCGGCGUGCCUAAUACAUGCAAGUAGAACGCUGAAGCGAGGAGCUUGCUCUUCUUGGAUGAGUUGCGAACGGGUGAGUAACGCGUAGGUAACCUGCCUUGUAGCGGGGGAUAACUAUUGGAAACGAUAGCUAAUACCGCAUAACAAUGGAUGACCCAUGUCAUUUAUUUGAAAGGGGCAAAUGCUCCACUACAAGAUGGACCUGCGUUGUAUUAGCUAGUAGGUGAGGUAACGGCUCACCUAGGCGACGAUACAUAGCCGACCUGAGAGGGUGGUCGGCCACACUGGGACUGAGACACGGCCCAGACUCCUACGGGAGGCAGCAGUAGGGAAUCUUCGGCAAUGGGGGCAACCCUGACCGAGCAACGCCGCGUGAGUGAAGAAGGUUUUCGGAUCGUAAAGCUCUGUUGUAAGUCAAGAACGAGUGUGAGAGUGGAAAGUUCACACUGUGACGGUAGCUUACCAGAAAGGGACGGCUAACUACGUG
rnacentral:rRNA from 1 species